rnacentral:rRNA from 1 species
UACGUAGGUGGCAAGCGUUAUCCGGAUUUACUGGGUGUAAAGGGCGAGUAGGCGGGAUUGCAAGUCAGAUGUGAAAACUAUGGGCUCAACCGAUAGAGUGCAUUUGAAACCGCAGUUCUUGAGUGAUGGAGAGGCAGGCGGAAUUCCCGGUGUAGCGGUGGAAUGCGUAGAUAUCGGGAGGAACACCAGUGGCGAAGGCGGCCUGCUGGACAUUAACUGACGCUGAGGCGCGAAAGCGUGGGGAGCAAACAGG